AUUUAAAAAAAAAAAGUCUUUGCCCGAUCUCGUCUGAUCUCGUAAGCAAAGCAGGGUCGGGCCUGGUUAGUACUUGGAUGGGAGACCACCUGGGAAUACCAGGUGCUGUAAGCU
rnacentral:rRNA from 1 species